AACGAACGCUGGCGGCAGGCUUAACACAUGCAAGUCGAACGCUCGGAGCGAUCCGGGAGUGGCGGACGGGUGAGUAACGCGUGGGAACGUGCCCUGAGGUUGGGAAUAACUGCGGGAAACUGCAGCUAAUACCUGAUGAGCCCGAGCAAUCGGGGAAAGAUUUAUCGCCUUGGGAGCGGCCCGCGUCGGAUUAGCUAGUUGGUGGGGUAACGGCCUACCAAGGCUUCGAUCCGUAGCUGGUCUGAGAGGACGAUCAGCCACACUGGGACUGAGACACGGCCCAGACUCCUACGGGAGGCAGCAGUGGGGAAUCUUGCGCAAUGGGGGGCAACCCUGACGCAGCCAUGCCGCGUGAAAUGAUGAAGGCCUUAGGGUUGUAAAGUUCUUUUGCCCGUGACGAUGAUGACGGUAACGGGAGAAUAAGCUCCGGCUAACUUCGUGCCAGCAGCCGCGGUUAAGGCACGACUGU
rnacentral:rRNA from 1 species